rnacentral:rRNA from 1 species
AUUGAACGCUGGCGGCAUGCCUUUCACAUGCAAGUCGAACGGUAACAGGUCUUCGGAUGCUGACGAGUGGCGAACGGGUGAGUAAUACAUCGGAACGUGCCUAGUAGUGGGGGAUAACUACUCGAAAGAGUGGCUAAUACCGCAUGAGAUCUACGGAUGAAAGCAGGGGAUCGCAAGACCUUGUGCUACUAGAGCGGCCGAUGGCAGAUUAGGUAGUUGGUGGGAUAAAAGCUUACCAAGCCGACGAUCUUUAGCUGGUCUGAGAGGACGAUCAGCCACACUGGAACUGAGACACGGCCCAGACUCCUACGGGAGGCAGCAGUGGGGAAUUUUGGACAAUGGGCGCAAGCCUGAUCCAGCAAUGCCGCGUGCAGGAUGAAGGCCUUCGGGUUGUAAACUGCUUUUGUACGGAACGAAAAGCCCUGGGUUAAUACCCUGGGGUCAUGACGGUACCGUAAGAAUAAGCACCGGCUAACUACGUGCCAGCCGCCGCAGUAAGAC